rnacentral:lncRNA from 1 species
CACCUAGUGGGGCCCAGACCCACUAAGGUAAGACUUUUUAAAUCCAACUAAUUUCAUACAAGAUAGGGUCAUUUCCCACAGAAUAAUAUAGUGCAUUUUCAUACAAGAUAUGAUCAUUUCAAAAAGGAUGAUACGGUGCAAAUCUUCAAUUCAAGUUAUCAUCAUUUUCUACAAGAUAUGAUCAAUUCACAAAUCUUCAAGUCUAAUUCACUGGAAAAGUGAAUUAAAACUAAGGAAAGUGACGGAUUCUAGGUAAAUUUCAUACAAAGUUACACUGCAUAAUAGCAACGGGAUUUGCAAUUCUAAGAUAGCACGGUACAAUCUUUCUCAAGAAUAACAUACGAAUUUUCUUCUACUUCGAUCCGCCGUUACAUAUUUUCGCAAUCAACAAGUGUUAAAGGGAUUGUCAAGGGAAUUGGUUCAGGUAUGUUAAGGCUAUCCCUUCUUUCCUUUUGGCAUGAUCCGCACGAUACAAAUGAAACGAGCAAAUGCACAACUUCCAUAAAUAACUCAAUUCAUAGAAAUACUAGAGGUUCCUAUGUUCUCGAUUCCCCAUAUGUAUUUUUAUUUUAUUAUCUGUCCAUGUGUCUCAAAAAUACGUAAGUUGGUAAAGUUUAUUUCAUGAUAUUAAUCAAAGGCAUAAUGGUCUUACGACAUUCCAAGAGAUUUUAUUGACUUACUUCUCAUGCAUUAUGUAGGCAUGUGAUUUUUGACCCUUUCCAAAUUUUUUCAUAUUUUAGCANNNNNNNNNNNNNNNNNNNNNNNNNCGUAAAACUAAAAAAUACCAAAAAAUAGUACCUUAUUUUUAUUUUAACAUGAUAUUUGACAAUAUAAAAAAAAUAGGUUUGUUUUUACGAUUAGUUUUAUUUUAAUAGUUAUUUUUACUUAGUAGGAUUAAUUGGUAAAUGAGGUCGUAUUUUUAGUCUUGUUCAAGGAGAAACAAUAAAAUUUGGGCUCAAACAACCCAUUUUAAGCCUAAUUUUCAGACUUAGUCCAUGACAACCCAAGCCCAAUACCCCUAAAAACCUAGGAAGAUACUUAAAAGGGACCCUGGACCUAAAGAAGGAAAUCAACCGUUUUUGACAUAAUAAAACAAAACCUAGAUAUAUACACUCUAUCAGAUCCGCUGCUUUUCCAUAGAUUAAAGCAUAGGCUUCUUCUUCUUGAACCACCCUCUGAACCUUUCAAAAAUUGCUGGAAAACACAAUAACGCAUCCACAUCCAGCGAUACUCCUCCAAUUCCAGCCACGCGAUCACCAAAAUUCAGCCACCACCUCUCAACACACACACACAACGAAAAACCAAAAAAAAAGGAUACAAAUAUGGAAGAUAGGGAGAAACAAUGGCAGAAACGUGAGAAGGGAGCGAAAACAGAGCCAGAAAAUACAUUAUUCUGUUUUCGUCUUCAGUUUUUCUUUAAUUUUCGUCUCAAAAUUGGAGUUCCAUUAAGGUUGUCAUCGCUAUCCGAGUUUUUCGUAGUUAAGCAUUUUCGGAUUGCAUUUGGAAAAAUUAUCUCAGGUUCGUUUCUCUUAACUUGUUCUUGAUCAAUGUAAUCUUGAUGUCUCAAGCACUUAUACGAGAAUGAAAGAAACGUUCUGCUGCUUAUAGUUGUUGCUUUAUUAUCCGGAUACAAUAUUUUCUAAUCUUCACCUUGUGGCACUGCUACUAUGUAUUUUAUAAUAUCAACCUUGCCGGCUUUGGAUGUAAUCGCGACUUUCCGUUGUUUUCUUGUCUGUGACUGUUAAUAUCUGUGAGGUUCUUCUAGCCGUGAACGAACGAAGUAGUAUGUAUGUAAAUGAGAUCUUGUCCAUCACUUUCUUUUGAUUUCUGUAUUUGCGGACCUUUCAAAAUUGUUAGGAAAUGGUGUCAAAAAUUAAAAGAACAACUGAAUGUAUCAAUCACUUAUAAUAAUUAUAAAAACAAAAAAAAAAAGACCUCUACAAAUGUGACUAUGUUCUGAUUAAUUAGUCUGCUAGCUUGGUUUGUUUACUGUGUCUUGUUUGAAUUUAUUCUAAGACCUCUAAAAAAUGUUGAGUUGUUUGCUAAUUUGUUCAAUGUGUCGUGUUUGAAAUUAGUCUGAUAGUUUGAUUUUAUUAUAAGUCAUAAUGAGUUUUAGUCAUGUAAAGGGAGGUGCUAUUUUUCGAAACUAUUAUAACUUAGUAAUUUGUUCUAAAAGUGAAUAAUUUAUUUACAAUUAGUAUUUUUAUUGAACUCCAAACUUAGUUUAAAAAUGAAUGUUCAUAGUUUGCUUUAGGCACGUUUAAUAUAUCGUUGUAAUUACGGACACGUUCGCGUGAUAUAACUACAAUUCUAAAAAUAAAAUCGAAGUAUGUGUUCGCACAACUUCGACCAAACCUUCUUAAUAAUAAUAAAACGUUACUAAUUGUGGACAUGUUCGCGUGACAUGAUUUUUGACGCGCCAAACAAAUGAGUGAACGUGCGCGUGACCUAUUUUAAGAUAAUUUUUUAAUUUAAAAAGGCAAAUGCAUAUAGGUUUUUAAAAUGAGUAAUUAGACAAUUUAAUAAGCCAAGUAUGAUCAAAGCGAUCGUGCUCGAACCAAGGAACUCGGGAAUGCCUAACACCUUCUCCCGGGUUAAUAGAAUUUCUUACCCAUAUUUCUGUGUUCGCAGACCGUAAAUAGAGUCAAAUUUCCUCGAUUCGGGAUCUUAAACCGGUGACUUGGGACAUUAUAAAUUAUCCAAGUGGCGACUCUGAAUCUAAUAAUUAAUCCCGUUUUGAUUAUCACUUAAAUUGGAAAAAAACUCCAUAUACCCCUUCUGGGGGUAGUAAAAAGGAGGAGUGACAGCUCUGGCGACUCUGCUGGGGACAAGAACCCAGAAUAUCUGGUUUAGGGUUCAAGAAUUCGAGCUUGUUUUUAUGAUUUUUACUUAGCUUUAUUUAUUGUUCAUAUUAUCGUAUUUGUAGAUCUACUGUGCUAAUUGCCGUUUAUUUACCGCUUUGAUAUUGUUUCAAUUGCAUUAAAAUGCCUUCUUACGCCACCCCUCUGAGUCUUCUAAAAAUGGUGCACACGUUCGCGUGGCCCGCUUUUUCUGUAGAAGUUAUACCAAAUAGAAUGAUGCUGGGCCAGCAACAAGUCCGGGUAGACUUUAGUGCUCCCGGUACGUUGCCCCUUCUUCGGCUCGAUUAGUCUGCUCGGGUAAGUCAGGUUAAGAACACAACCCGAGGUUUAAACUUAGAAUAACAUAACCUCAUGCCGAAUCCCUAGUAGGUACGUUUGUUUGCAUCAUGUGCAUUUGACUUUGGGGACUCAACACAGGGGUUGGGUCCGUCUAGAACAGGUGUACCCAAAAAUAAAAAACCAUCCAGAUGCAUCCUAUGGGCUACAUGUUACAAUCUUCAAGGGUAAAAGGGUCAUUUGGUAGACCAAUGAUAGUUGAGGGAAAACCAAAAAAAAAGAAAAAAAAAAGGUGAAGUGUGAAAAUAAAGCAAGUAGGGGCCAGUUAUGUUUUCUUUCACAUUUUUGUUAAGAAAAAGAAACAUGAAACAUGAAAAAUUCAAAAAAAAAAAAUUGCGCUUUUUCAUCAUUUUCCGAAAAUAAAAAAAAAAUAAAAAAAGGGAAAAGAAAAUCCAAAAAGAGUUUACUUGUUUCAUCAUUUUCCGAAAAUAAAAAAAAUAAAAAAGGGAAAAGAAAAUCCAAAAAGAGUUUACUUGUUUCAUCAUUUUUCAAAAAAAACAAAAUACAAAAACAUAUUUUUCUCUAAAUUAGUUGUUUUAUUUAAUUCUCGCCCAUAUCAAAAUCUGCUCGAACUACGCAUACCCGAUUCUCGUCUUUCGAGGCGUGAUACGUAGGCAAACCACAUAGGUUCUGGUCUUCCUAGUGAGUCUUAGGUUCUUGGCUUCACGGGGUCGUAGCCAAAUCUUGUAUUUUAACCACUUUUAGCCACAUAUGUGAAUUUUAGAAAAAUAGUCACAAUCAUGUCUUGCAUGUGUCCAACAGGAAGGGUUAUUGUCUCACAUAGCGUUCUAGGUCUUUAACUUAUUUGGUCUUAAUUUUCUCAUACAGGUGUGGGUCUACUUACCGGAGUUUGAGUAUGACAGACACCCCGGGACCAUCCAGUCAAGAUCGCUCAUUCAGGAGUUGCUUAAGGAGAUUUUUUUUUUUUUAUGUAUUGAGUCUGUUUUUCAUUUUAUUUCGUCUUUUACUUUUUAGUUUUGUAUAGUAAUGUCGAGUCUUUUGUUAUUAUACUUUCUACUUUGUAUUUGAAAAAGUGUGUUGUAACUCAAAAAUUCAAAAAAAAAAAGAAAGAGGUUUUGCG